rnacentral:rRNA from 1 species
UAGGGAAUCUUCCACAAUGGGCGCAAGCCUGAUGGAGCAACACCGCGUGAGUGAAGAAGGGUUUCGGCUCGUAAAGCUCUGUUGUUAGAGAAGAACACGUAUGAGAGUAACUGUUCAUACGUUGACGGUAUUUAACCAGAAAGUCACGGCUAACUACGUGCCAGCAGCCGCGGUAAUACGUAGGUGGCAAGCGUUAUCCGGAUUUAUUGGGCGUAAAGAGAGUGCAGGCGGUUUUCUAAGUCUGAUGUGAAAGCCUUCGGCUUAACCGGAGAAGUGCAUCGGAAACUGGAUAACUUGAGUGCAGAAGAGGGUAGUGGAACUCCAUGUGUAGCGGUGGAAUGCGUAGAUAUAUGGAAGAACACCAGUGGCGAAGGCGGCUACCUGGUCUGCAACUGACGCUGAGACUCGAAAGCAUGGGUAGCGAACAGGAUUAGAUACCCUGGUAGUCCAUGCCGUAACGAUGAGUGCUAGGUGUUGGAGGGUUUCCGCCCUUCAGUGCCGGAGCUAACGCAUUAAGCACUCCGCCUGGGGAGUACGACCGCAAGGU